UACAGAGGGUGCAAGCGUUAAUCGGAAUUACUGGGCGUAAAGCGUCCGCAGGUGGCUGUGUAAGUCUGCUGUCAAAGAGCAAAGCUCAACUUUGUAAAGGCAGUGGAAACUACACGGCUAGAGUGCGUUCGGGGCAGAGGGAAUUCCUGGUGUAGUGGUGAAAUACGUAGAUAUCUGGAGGAACACCGGUGGCGAAGGCGGCUACCUGGCCCAACAUUGACGCUGAGACCCGAAAGCAUGGGGAUCAAACAGG
rnacentral:rRNA from 1 species